UUGUACAUCAAGUGCUUCAGCUUUUUGUUAAAAAAUAAAAAAAAAAUGAACUCUAUCGAAGGCAAGCAAGCUUGCGAUUCUCCAAGUUUAGGAUUGCUCUUGACGAGAUCCAAACCAAAUGACCAGUCCUUCUUCCAGAUAUUUAUUUCCCUGCCCUUUAACUGAAAGCAGUCUAAGCCUGACUGUCUUGUCCACAAGUUUAAUGAGACAGGCUGUAUGUUUCGGCUGUUCACCAUUCCUGCGAGUAUUGCGUUCCCUCCAAAUCGCACAUGCACCGUUGCUUGAAAGGUGUAUCGAAGAAGAAAG
rnacentral:lncRNA from 1 species